rfam:Dengue virus type 2 strain 1318 polyprotein gene, 3' TTR.
UGGGGGCCCAAGGUGAGAUGAAGCUGUAGCCUCACUGGAAGGACUAGAGGUUAGAGGAGACCCCCCCAAAACA